rnacentral:rRNA from 1 species
GACAGAGGUGCCAAGCGUUAGGCGGAAUCACUGGGCUUAAAGCGUGUGUAGGCGGGUGCCUAAGUACCUUGUGAAAUCCCCCGGCUCAACCGGGGAACGGCUGGGUAUACUGGGUGCCUUGGGUCAUCUAGGGGCUGCCGGAACAAAUGGUGGAGCGGUGAAAUGCGUAGAUAUCAUUGGAACGCCAACGGCGAAAGCAGGCAGCUGGGGAUGCACCGACGCUGAGACACGAAAGCCAGGGGAGCGAACGGG